rnacentral:rRNA from 1 species
GAUGAGCGCUGGCGGCGUGCCUAAUACAUGCAAGUCGAGCGAACAGAUAAGGAGCUUGCUCCUUUGACGUUAGCGGCGGACGGGUGAGUAACACGUGGGUAACCUACCUAUAAGACUGGGAUAACUUCGGGAAACCGGAGCUAAUACCGGAUAACAUUUGGAACCGCAUGGUUCUAAAGUGAAAGAUGGUUUUGCUAUCACUUAUAGAUGGACCCGCGCCGUAUUAGCUAGUUGGUAAGGUAACGGCUUACCAAGGCAACGAUACGUAGCCGACCUGAGAGGGUGAUCGGCCACACUGGAACUGAGACACGGUCCAGACUCCUACGGGAGGCAGCAGUAGGGAAUCUUCCGCAAUGGGCGAAAGCCUGACGGAGCAACGCCGCGUGAGUGAUGAAGGGUUUCGGCUCGUAAAACUCUGUUAUUAGGGAAGAACAAAUGUGUAAGUAACUGUGCACGUCUUGACGGUACCUAAUCAGAAAGCCACGGCUAACUACGUG